rnacentral:rRNA from 1 species
UACGUAGGGGGCAAGCGUUGUCCGGAUUUAUUGGGCGUAAAGAGCGUGUAGGCGGCUAGGUAGGUCCGUUGUGAAAACUCGAGGCUCAACCUCGAGCUGUCGAUGGAAACCAUCUGGCUAGAGUCCGGAAGAGGAGAGUGGAAUUCCUGGUGUAGCGGUGAAAUGCGCAGAUAUCAGGAAGAACACCCGUGGCGAAGGCGGCUCUCUGGUACGUGACUGACGCUGAGACGCGAAAGCGUGGGGGAGCGAACAGG